GACGAACGCUGGCGGCGCGCCUAACACAUGCGAGUCGAACGAGCGAGAGGGAGCUUGCUUUCUCGAGCGAGUGGCGAACGGGUGAGUAACGCGUGAGGAACCUGCCUCAAAGAGGGGGACAACAGUUGGAAACGACUGCUAAUACCGCAUAAGCCCACGGUGCCGCAUGGCACCGAGGGAAAAGGAGCAAUCCGCUUUGAGAUGGCCUCGCGUCCGAUUAGCUAGUUGGUGAGGUAAUGGCCCACCAAGGCGACGAUCGGUAGCCGGACUGAGAGGUUGAACGGCCACAUUGGGACUGAGACACGGCCCAGACUCCUACGGGAGGCAGCAGUGGGGAAUAUUGCACAAUGGGGGAAACCCUGAUGCAGCGACGCCGCGUGGAGGAAGAAGGUCUUCGGAUUGUAAACUCCUGUUGUUGGGGAAGAUAAUGACGGUACCCAACAAGGAAGUGACGGCUAACUACGU
rnacentral:rRNA from 1 species